CAGCCGUAAUCAGGAGUCCCAUAGGGCGGCGCACAAUUUUCCCAGCGUCAUUAGGGGAGGGUUUGGCCGGGGUAGACAAUAAUUGUAAAUAAGAAUUUGUUCCUAACUUACUUGCCUAGUUAAAUUAAAUAACAAUGCGCAAUAAUUGUCGGGAGAAAGUUUAGUGGAUUCUGGAGAGAGACGCGCCUAUAAACUAUCUUUCGCCUCACAUCUUCUUGUCUCAACAUUUUAAAUUAGACUCGAGACACAUUAUCUUCACACAUAUUUCAGAUGCUUUUCACUAACAGCAGCAACUCAAUAAUCAGCUAGGUCUGGUGUGUGUGCUCGCGCACGUUAGGCUACGUUAUAUGAGCUAACUUGUAGCUUGUUAGUCGCGCAUCUCGCCCCGUUACAGUGGGACGUUUUCUGACCAAGAGAAGAGUGCGGGUAGAAAUUUAAAAUAAGAGAAGAGUGCGGGUAGAAAUUGAAAAUCCAUUUUAAAAAAUCCAGUCUCCGAGGGGGCCAAAGAAGAAGAGGGAGAUAAGAAAAAUGAGUCGGAGAGAGAAACUCGUGAGCCACGACGUGAGGGAGCACCAGAGCAGUUCGUCGCUGCUAGCUGCUCCACAGCCAUCGUUAGCUGCACUGUUAGCACAGCCACCCUCUGAUUUAAACCAGUCACCUGUUGAAGAACCAAGGCGCCCUCUUCUUCGGCGUUUUCCAGCCACAAAAGUUGGACAGCAGGAUCGCUACUCCAAUCGUAGAUGGUAUGAGGAUUACAAAUGGCUGAAAUAUUAUAUUUCAAAGGACCAUGCUUUCUGCUUUGCAUGCCGCCACUUUCAACGUCCAGGAAACCAUGGUGGAAAGAAAGCGACAUUUGCCCACGAUGGCUACCAGAACUGGAAGAAGGCGACACGUUCGUUCAAGACACACAAUGCUAGCGUGGAACAUACAUAUGCAAUGACAGCGUGGAAUGUGAGUGGACGAUUCAGAAAGAGUCUGGCUCAACAAUAUGCAAUGCUCUAAGUGAUGAACAUUCGAAAAUAGUCCGAGACAACAGAGAGUAUAUGAGAGCAGUUGUGGAGUCAUUGCGUUUCACUGCAUACCAGGGACUUUCACAGAGAGGAGACAUAGAAAACGACAUGGCUGUCAACCCAGGGAAACUUCCUUGAACUUUUACAGGUCAUAGGAAAAUUCGACAAAACAGUUGCACAGAAAAUAUCAGAUAAUCCUAGAAAUGUUAAGUACACGCAUCAUGAUAUACAGAAUGAAAUACUAGUCAUGGCAAAUAAGAUUAGGGAUCAGAUAAGUGGUGAAAUACAAGAUGCUAAACUAUUUGCAUUGAUGGUAGAUGAGAGUAAGGACCUCAGGAAUUUCUUUCAUUUCACUCCAACUGAUGGAUUAGAUGCCGAGUCGCUUUUCGCUACGAUCAAAGAGACUCUUAGUAAAUGUAACACUGAUCACACUGCAUGACGGCGCCGUCCCUCGGGCAAUCUACAUUCAUUGCCACGCACACCGUCUCAAUCUUGUUUUGGUGGACUGUGUCAGAAACGUGAAGCCAGCGGGGGAUUUUGUUGUCACACAUAUCUGUCACACUGUCAGUAACCUCCGCGUCAUGUGAGCGCAGUUUUUCCUGCAUGCGGCGUGUAAAAACCUACCUGAGAAACAGAAUGGCAAACCCUCGACUCAGCAACCUUGCCUGCCUGUCCAUACACGCAGAAAGAACCAAAGCCCAGGAUGUCCAGAAAAUGAUAGGCUCAUUUGCACUGAACCACAACAACAGACGCAUCGUCUUUCUAAAAAAACAACACUUGAGCGCACCUGUCCGGUGGCGGGAACAUGAUUCAAUCGCGCUGAUCUGGAUGGAACAAGAAGACGCAUGCAUAUUGUCGGCCAGUCGGCCUACAAGUAUUUUUGCAAUAGAAAUAUAAUAACUAAGAUUGUGAUUAUAGCCAGUUCGUUUUACAAGUGUGUGCACAGUUAACAGGCAUAGGCUAAAUGCAUUUCACUUGUCGUUGUGGCUGCACUUUGGAUAUUAUUAAUUUCAUUUCUGACGUUGUGAUAGCCAUUUCAUCCGAAACAUUAUUACCAAUGCACAGUUGUCUGAUUAUGCAUAUGGAAUAAAUGCACUUCUUGUUGUUGUCGCAUUUUGGAUGUAUUGUAUUGUUAUUGCUGAUAGACUUCAGUGCAUGGGCGCUGUCCGAUGCUGAAGUAUAUCACCUUUGCACGUGAAAGGCGUUUGUGUCAUUGCCUUGUGGUCACUUGUAUUAGGCUAAUAGCUAUUUUGUUGAAUAUUCUUUGGCCAAAUUCAAUUAACGACAUUUAUAUCGAAUGUGCUGUGUGCCAUAUCUGCUUUUAUUGAAAAACGAGAACUUCCUUAUAACUCUGAAGUCAUGAAAAUCAACUAUUUUCUUAGCACCCCCACGUAUUGGUCAAGCCCCCCCUUAGCCCCGGGAGAGAAGAUAUCCUGGAUCAGAUACAUCAGUCCUGUUAUUAAAGUUGGAGGAAGGAGUACCAUAGAAGUGUCUCACCAGUAUUGAAAGACAGAAGAUAACAAAUAAUGCUUGUUUUUUUUCUGUCACAUGCUCUGCCUGUCUGCUUGCUAAGUCUUAAUUGUCAUAUGUUUCCUUGUCCUGUUGUACUCUGCUGCUCUGGCUGUGCUCAUUGUCUGUUUGCAUUUUAAUAGUUUCAUUGAUAACCUGUUAAGGGACUGCAGUUGAAAAUUAGCUGGCUGGCUAAAACUGGCACUUUUACAGUAAUGUUGAUUAAUGUGCACUGUUCCUGUAAAACUAAAUGUAAUAAAGUUUAAAAAAAACUUUGAGUGAACCAGCAUUUCCAGCUCAUGACAGAGUUUACUGUAUUCAGCCAGCAAUAGUAGAAAAUCAAGUCCUUCAAUGAAUCAACAGCAGUCCAGGCACUAGUGUCUUACAGUUUAUGGUGAGGAAUGAAACACCAACU
rnacentral:lncRNA from 1 species